CUGUCUGAGAUGGUGAAGGGGACAAUGUAAACAUCUGGGGCCAGAUAGGCGAUAUUCAGCGACAGCUCUUUAAUGUUCCACUGGGUAAGAGGAGGCUGAAGAGGCUGCGGUGACGGCGAGAGCAAACCGAAACGCGCGUAUCUCCAGCUUCUGUCUCUGCUGUCAGAGGCCAAGACCAUCACCCCCUCUUGGGGCAUGUGGGAGGGAGGCCGUAACCUCUAGCCAGGGACUGGCUAUGUGCA